AUACAGAGGGUGCGAGCGUUAAUCGGAAUUACUGGGCGUAAAGCGCGCGUAGGCGGCUGAUUAAGUCAGAUGUGAAAUCCCAGGGCUCAACCUUGGAACUGCAUCUGAUACUGGUCAGCUAGAGUUUACGAGAGGGAAGUAGAAUUUCAGGUGUAGCGGUGAAAUGCAUAGAUAUCUGAAGGAAUACCAGUGGCGAAGGCGGCUUCCUGGCCUAAAACUGACGCUGAGGUGCGAAAGCGUGGGUAGCAAACGGCAUUAGAUACCCCAGUAGUCC
rnacentral:rRNA from 1 species